rnacentral:rRNA from 1 species
UCGAGCGGAACGAUGAUAGCUUGCUAUCAGGCGUCGAGCGGCGGACGGGUGAGUAAUACUUAGGAAUCUACCUAGUAGUGGGGGAUAGCUCGGGGAAACUCGAAUUAAUACCGCAUACGUCCUACGGGAGAAAGGGGGCAACUUGUUGCUCUCGCUAUUAGAUGAGCCUAAGUCGGAUUAGCUAGAUGGUGGGGUAAAGGCCUACCAUGGCGACAAUCUGUAGCUGGUCUGAGAGGAUGAUCAGCCACACCGGGACUGAGACACGGCCCGGACUCCUACGGGAGGCAGCAGUGGGGAAUAUUGGACAAUGGGGGGAACCCUGAUCCAGCCAUGCCGCGUGUGUGAAGAAGGCCUUUUGGUUGUAAAGCACUUUAAGCAGUGAAGAAGACUCUUCGGUUAAUACCCGGGGACGAUGACAUUAGCUGCAGAAUAAGCACCGGCUAACUCUGUGCCAGCAGCCGCGGUAAUACAGAGGGUGCAAGCGUUAAUCGGAAUUACUGGGCGUAAAGCGAGCGUAGGUGGCUUGAUAAGUCAGAUGUGAAAUCCCCGGGCUUAACCUGGGAACUGCAUCUGAAACUGUUAGGCUAGAGUAGGUGAGAGGGAAGUAGAAUUUCACGUGUAGCGGUGAAAUGCGUAGAGAUCUGAAGGAAUACCGAUGGCGAAAGCAGCUUCCUGGCAUCAUACUGACACUGAGGCUCGAAAGCGUGGGUAGCAAACAGGAUUAGAUACCCUG